rnacentral:tRNA from 1 species
UAAAAUAUAGUUUAACUCAAAACAUUUCACUUACACUGAAAAAUUAUAUAAUAAUAUUAUUUUAA